AACAAGAAUAAAAAUAAGAACAACAACAAGAACAACAAGAAUAAUAACAAGAACAAUAAGAACAACAAGAACAAUAAGAACAAUAAGAACAACAAGAACAAAAAUAAAAAUAACAAGAACAACAACGCCAACAACGACAACAACAACAAAAAUAACAAAAACAACAAGAACAACAAGAACAAAACAACUACAACAACAAUAACAAAAUAAAUAAU
rnacentral:lncRNA from 1 species